rnacentral:ncRNA from 2 species
UAUACUAUAACAGGGUGCUCCGGAGGGGCUGAGAAAAACCUGAAACCUGAUGUGGGUAAUGCCAACGUAGGGAAAUAAAUCUGUAUAUGCU